rnacentral:rRNA from 1 species
UACGAAGGGGGCUAGCGUUGUUCGGAUUUACUGGGCGUAAAGCGCACGUAGGCGGAUCUUUAAGUCAGAGGUGAAAUCCCGGAGCUCAACUUCGGAACUGCCUUUGAUACUGGGGAUCUCGAGUUCGGGAGAGGUGAGUGGAACUGCGAGUGUAGAGGUGAAAUUCGUAGAUAUUCGCAAGAACACCAGUGGCGAAGGCGGCUCACUGGCCCGGUACUGACGCUGAGGUGCGAAAGCGUGGGGAGCAAACAGG